rnacentral:rRNA from 1 species
CCUACGGGAGGCAGCAGUGGGGAAUAUUGCACAAUGGGCGCAAGCCUGAUGCAGCCAUGCCGCGUGUGUGAAGAAGGCCUUCGGGUUGUAAAGCACUUUCAGCGGGGAGGAAGGCGUUAAGGUUAAUAACCUUGGCGAUUGACGUUACCCGCAGAAGAAGCACCGGCUAACUCCGUGCCAGCAGCCGCGGUAAUACGGAGGGUGCAAGCGUUAAUCGGAAUUACUGGGCGUAAGGCGCACGCAGGCGGUCUGUCAAGUCGGAUGUGAAAUCCCCGGGCUCAACCUGGGAACUGCAUUCGAAACUGGCAGGCUAGAGUCUUGUAGAGGGGGGUAGAAUUCCAGGUGUAGCGGUGAAAUGCGUAGAGAUCUGGAGGAAUACCGGUGGCGAAGGCGGCCCCCUGGACAAAGACUGACGCUCAGGUGCGAAAGCGUGGGGAGCAAACAGGAUUAGAUACCCUUGUAGUC